UACGUAGGGGGCGAGCGUUGUCCGGAAUCAUUGGGCGUAAAGCGCGUGUAGGCGGCCCGGUAAGUCCGCUGUGAAAGUCCAGGGCUCAACCCUGGGAUGCCGGUGGAUACUGUCGGGCUCGAGUCCGGAAGAGGCGAGUGGAAUUCCUGGUGUAGCGGUGAAAUGCGCAGAUAUCAGGAGGAACACCAAUGGCGAAGGCAGCUCGCUGGGACGUGACUGACGCUGAGACGCGAAGCGUGGGAGC
rnacentral:rRNA from 1 species